rnacentral:tRNA from 1 species
UCGGAGGGUAGGCCAGUGGUUAAGCCACGAGUUUUGGGAACUCGAUGUCGGGGGUUCAAAUCCCCCCUCUCCGAAC